rnacentral:rRNA from 1 species
GGGCCCGCACAAGCGGUGGAGUAUGUGGUUUAAUUCGAUGCAACGCGAAGAACCUUACCUGGUCUUGACAUACACAGAAUCUUGUAGAGAUACGAGAGUGCCUUCGGGAAUUGUGAUACAGGUGCUGCAUGGCUGUCGUCAGCUCGUGUCGUGAGAUGUUGGGUUAAGUCCCGCAACGAGCGCAACCCUUGUCCUUAGUUACCAGCGGGUUAAGCCGGGAACUCUAAGGAUACUGCCAGUGACAAACUGGAGGAAGGCGGGGACGACGUCAAGUCAUCAUGGCCCUUACGACCAGGGCUACACACGUGCUACAAUGGUAGGUACAGAGGGCAGCUACACAGCGAUGUGAUGCGAAUCUCAAAAAGCCUAUCGUAGUUCGGAUCGCAGUCUGCAACUCGACUGCGUGAAGCUGGAAUCGCUAGUAAUCG